CACGAGAUGGAAAGCCCAAUUACUCCCUCCCUGCGGACGACCACCUGAGCAGACAUUUCCCUUCAGCCCCAGCAGCAGUUCCGCGUGAGAGACCCCUCCUGUCAGCCCUCACCUGCGUCAGGACAAAAGCUCUGAGGCAGCAUCUUUAUCUUCACUCAGAGAAAGACGAAUGGGACUCCAGAGUCACGACCAACUGCUCUAGGGACACCCAGCUGAAGGCCAGCCUCACUCAGUCCCCAAUGGCCAGAGCUCCGUGCGACCUAGCCAGUCCUUGGGGAGGAACUAAAAGGGUAUGACAAAGAUAGAAGGAAAAGAACGUGAAUGGAAGGCGAAAAGAGAGAUAAAGGACAGUAGGGAAAGGAGGAGGAGGAGGAGGAAAGAGAAACAGAGCGACUAAACUGAGUGACAUAACUGAAUGGUGGAGGGAGAAGGAAGGACUCCGGCAACAGGACCUUCAGACAAAGCAUGGCGGGGCUGAGGCCAGCAUGACAGUGAAGAAGGAGAUUUCAAAUCUCGGACCCUAGCAGAAGCGCUCGAGGAAGGUGGGGACCUGUCCACCUCUUCCCAGUGUGGGUCCUGCUUGCCUUCCAGCGAUGGUCCAAUCAAAGCAGGAAUGAAAACCGGAUGAUGCCCCAAACAAGGUCCCAGAAAUGUGGCCUUGUCUCCUCUGAAAUUUUUGCAGGAAGCUGGCACUUUGCCAUGGCGCCCUCUUGUGUCCAAAGCUCACAUGGCGCCGUUUCCUGAUCCCGGCUUGCCUAAGAGCCCUGCUAUUGCUGUGACUGCAGAUUAAUUACACCCUUUGUGGAGGUUAGACGGAGAAUCCACACACAGCGUGACAGGUAGAGAGUAGAAGAUGUGCUUCUUUUCUUUCUCCUUUUUAUUGUGACAUAAUUUCUGUUCAAUGUUCCUUCGGUUAGUACUAGUUGAGAGUUGGGGACUGAGGUUAGACCCUCUUAGUCAUAGCUCUCUGGCUUACCAGUUAUCAGGGCACAGGUGGCCACCCUCCUUGUAUCUGAGAUUCUGUGGGCCUUCUGCAAGAGGUAGCCAACCUCUGUUGGUCCAGGAUUCUGCAUUACAGUACCUAUGUUCUCAGAUAACUGAACAUUAAAUAUGUGGGAAUCUGAAAAUGCCUGGAACU